AGAUACAGCUUUCUUGUCAAUUGUGGUGAGUCUUAACAUUUCACAAAAUGCAUGCACAAAGAUCUCUUAAUAAAACUACUAAUAUUAUAGGAUACAGAAAAUUAUCGCAGUGCUAAGAAAGAUUAUGAGCUUCAGCCUUUUGUCCCGCUUAGCGUUUUUUCGAGUUUAAGCUAUACUAAGUUGGCAAAGUAAAGCUGAUAACAAGUAAACAGAAGACAAAUAACUUUUCUAACGUAUCACUGUGCACACAAGGCAAAUAGAUUUGCAAUCAAAAUCCCCUUAGUCCCAGGAUCAAUGUCUGAAGGGGUCAAACCCUUUGAGCGAAUAAGAAUGAACAUAUUUGUUAAGGUAGGAUAAGGAUCGAACUUUUUCAACUGUCCAUUAUAUCAACCAUUGAUCCCCAUGCCUACCAUUUGAAGUCCUAAAUAAUUUCACUUCCUAAAUAAUUUCACUUAUUAUAUCAACCACCACUGGAGACAGAAAACCUUUUAAAUGCUUAGAACGACGCCAAUCCCCAUCCCAAACCACAAGCAAGGGGAAAAGAAAGGUUUU
rnacentral:lncRNA from 1 species